GCGUCGGUCGUGCAGCGGUCGAGCAUGCGCUCUCAGAAAGAGUAAAAUCUGAGUUCGAAUCCCAGCUGACGCA